rnacentral:rRNA from 1 species
GACGAACGCUGGCGGCGUGCUUAACACAUGCAAGUCGAACGGAAAGGCCUGCUUUCCCUUGUGGAUUGCGGGUACUCGAGUGGCGAACGGGUGAGUAACACGUGAGUGAUCUGCCCCCAACUUGGGUAUAAGCCUGGGAAACUGGGUCUAAUUCCCGAUAGGACUGCAGGGUGGUGCCUGUGGUGGAAAACGAUUUUCUAGUGGUUGGGGAUGAGCUCGCGGCCUAUCAGCUUGUUGGUGGGGUAAUGGCCUACCAAGGCGGCGACGGGUAGCCGGCCUGAGAGGGUGGACGGCCACAUUGGGACUGAGAUACGGCCCAGACUCCUACGGGAGGCAGCAGUGGGGAGUAUUGCACAAUGGGCGGAAGCCUGAUGCAGCGACGCCGCGUGGGGGAUGACGGCCUUCGGGUUGUAAACUCCUUUCGACCGCGAGGAAGCCACCUGGUUGGAAGGGUGGUGACGGUAGUGGUAGAAGAAGCACCGGCUAACUACGUG